rnacentral:lncRNA from 8 species
GGAAGAUUUGCCCACACUCUUGUGGCGAGUCUAACCCAUGCACCCUGUCCUACCACCAACCCCAUUCAUAACCCCUCACACCAUCACAUCAUUCAUCCACAACCUUCAACCAUUCCUUCCCCUCAUCAUCCCAACCCAGGGCCCCCUGGAGAUCUGCCAGACACAGUGAUGAAAGGUAAGUCUUCAUCUUGAAUAUUUCUACUGUGUGUGAACUGCACCACUAUUGAAAGGCUGUGGUUGUCUCAUAUCAGUGCAUGCACUAUAAAGAGCCACAAGAGGGCACCUCACCUCUACUAGGUGAUCCUGGAGACAACAGUGUAAUUGGUUUCACUUCCGUAUCAAAUAUCCACUUCUUUCUUAUGUAGAAGUUCAUAAACCUGGUUUGUCACACCAGUACCGUUUCCUUUUCCUCCAUACAGACCCUGGUUUAAAGGCCGAUACACAAACACCCUGUGGCUUGUCCGACUAUGACUGUGACGGCUCCUUAGGUUGCUGCUCUUACCUUGUGAAUGCCAUGUGUCCUGCACCCCCCAGAGGAUGACCUCUGACCUGUACAGUGUACCCCUGGAUGGCUGUGGAGUGCACAGAUUCGAGGAUGGUCAGGCCAUGGUCCACUUGUUGGAGUUCAACGCUCUACUUUCCACACAACAUAAACACAGCACCACAUCCUGAAGACUCACCUGUCCGGUUGAUGGUGGAGUGCAGGUCUUCUCCUGGUUCUUCAGGGAGGGUGAGGUACCAGGUGAGGAACACCACCCCUAGCCCCCGUCCCCACUCAGGGCUCAUUGGCUGUCCAGCUACGAAUCGCUACAGGUAGGACUGUAUAAGUAAUGAAACCUUCAGGAGUAGCAGCAGAGCUAUGGAGACUGAGGAGUGGGUUUUAUCAUACUGUAUCUGCCAACUAACCACGUACCCUCCCCAUGUUUACCCCUGUCUGUAGAUGAGCACUACAGCAGCUUCACCCAGAGAAACAUCGACCACUCAGUCUACUUCAGGGGUGGCCUCUGUACCUGGAGGUGGGUCUGCUGAGCCCCCCAGACAUGGACCCUGGCCUGGUGCUCCUGGUGCACUACUGUCUGGCCUACCCAGACACCACGGGCCCGCUGGCUGCUCAUCUAUGACGGGUAGGUUGUUCCACUAUAGUUCCUGUUUGUUUACAUGCAACAGCACAGAGAAA